GAUGAACGCUGGCGGCGUGCCUAAUACAUGCAAGUCGAGCGAACGGACGAGAAGCUUGCUUCUCUGAUGUUAGCGGCGGACGGGUGAGUAACACGUGGAUAACCUACCUAUAAGACUGGGAUAACUUCGGGAAACCGUAGCUAAUACCGGAUAAUAUUUUGAACCGCAUGGUUCAAAAGUGAAAGACGGUCUUGCUGUCACUUAUAGAUGGAUCCGCGCUGCAUUAGCUAGUUGGUAAGGUAACGGCUUAUCAAGGCAACGAUGCAUAGCCGACCUGAGAGGGUGAUCGGCCACACUGGAACUGAGACACGGUCCAGACUCCUACGGGAGGCAGCAGUAGGGAAUCUUCCGCAAUGGGCGAAAGCCUGACGGAGCAACGCCGCGUGAGUGAUGAAGGUCUUCGGAUCGUAAAACUCUGUUAUUAGGGAAGAACAUAUGUGUAAGUAACGGUGCACAUCUUGACGGUACCUAAUCAGAAAGCCACGGCUAACUACGUG
rnacentral:rRNA from 1 species